ensembl:lncRNA
GGAUAGUAGCAUCGUGCAGCAGGAAGGAACUUUUGUUAAGAUCAAGCAGGUCUGUGCAUCAUGUGGCUACCACCGUUUCUGGCAAAACCAGCCAAUGCUCCACAGGAACAUGCGCUGCAUUAUAAUCACAAUGCCAAUCGCGAGACAGCACGGAGAAGUGACGGGACAGAGAAGUACUGCGUGCGGUAUCCGCGCUUCAGAAAAGGUGCCCAUGUGGUGCGUCCCAUCAAAGAGGCAGCCUCAUACGGUUAUGCAACAUCAUUAAUGAAGGCCCUUCGGGAGAGCUACGCCAAUUCACCCGCGGUUCUUCGAGAGGUUGGCGCCAAUUUGUCCUCCGAUGCACCCGCCCCCAUCGCCAAAUCCUUCGAACAGAUUCCUAAGGAGGAGGCCAUCGGCCUCUACCUAGCCCGGCAGUCACGCUUUGAGAAAACCUAAUUUCACAUUAUUAUUUUUUUCCACGGACAAGUCCAAUGAUUUAGUUGUUAUUUGCAUGAAAUUUCUUUGUAUGUAAUUCAAAAUAAUUUGGUAAUCAUUUUACCUGUGCCUUGUCAACCUCUGUGUGCGGUGUUGUCUGGGCUCACUGUGUGUCUGCUUGAUGUGCUUUUGCAUGUAUCACUGCAUGAAAUAGUGUGUGUGUGUGUGUGUGUGUGUGAGAGAAAGAGAACCAUCAACUGACCCUCGGGUAUGACUACACUAUUGCAGAAUUUAUUAGAAUUAGAAUUAAACAUUGCGGGUCUAGCCCUUCAUCAGUGUUCCUUGUAUGUUUUGUGCCUAACCAUUUUUUUAUAUAGAUUUAAUUCCAACCUGUGUCUUUGUUCAGUAACCAUUACAAGCAAUG